rnacentral:tRNA from 1 species
AAGUAAAGAUCCCUCCCCAAGCCGUGCUUGCACUUUUAAAAGCCGAGUACUCUACCGUUGAGUUAGCAACCC